AUAUUUUUAAUUUUUUAUCAGGAAACAAGAAUUGAAGGACAGAUUCGACCUUAUGAAACAGGAACUGAAAGACCAACUGUACGUUUUAUGAGAUAUCUUAAAGAACUGCAAGAUUUGGUUGAUCAAAGAGAAGAGAUG